CUCCUCCCCCCCCCCAAAAAAAAUAGCCACCCUAUACUCAGUUCUCAAUUCGAGCUUCAGAAGCCGUAUCUCACCCAAAUCCUACAAUGGAUUUCCCCAAGAUUUACCAAAUCCAAAUCUCUAGCCGCCGGCCUGCACCCAGCUAGAGAUAUCAUAAGCAUCUGCCAUGGGAGAAAUACUUGGAGGAUUCAUAUUCGGGUGCUGAGGAUGUGGGAGAUGUGCCCAAUUUCUGAGCUAGACAUUGCAGUGCAAUUGUUUCUUAUUGAUGCAGAGCUGGUUUGAAUUAGCCUUAGGUGAUUUGCUGGUGAUCUCUGAACUUUGCAUGUCCAGUUCUUGUGGUGUUAUGCUGGUCUGGAUGUUGCUGGAGAACAUUUGCUUGAUGAUAUUGAUUGCCAAGGUGUUGUGAAGGAUAUAUAGUCUUCAGUUUACUUGCUUGAAACAAAUGGUUUGAAGAAGGUUUCUCUCUGUUCAUUGGUUGUCAAGAUGAAAAUUUAUUCUUUUUCAAUAUUCCCUAUCAACUACAACUGUGUUAAUAUAAUUGUCUCUAAAUAGGAGGAUAUUUGACCAUAGUUGGGCUUUUGUCAGAUUUUUUCUUUCAAGUAUUGUGUAAUGACCCCAAUGAAGUAGCCUCUGAGUGUGUACUCUGUAUCAUUUUCCUCCUUAAUUCUCAGUCCUUACAACAUAUUUACAUAUAUACAUAA